rnacentral:piRNA from 1 species
UGAGGGCUCUACUGUUGUGUGGUUACAUC